GAUUCAGCAACCUCAUACCCCAAAAGGUCCCCCAAAACUGCAACUCCCAAAGAAAAUUCAACUUCAUCCCCAAAAAGGUCCCCCAAAAUUGAAGCCCCCAAAGAAACUCUAGCCACAUCUCCUGAGGGGGUUACAGCUAUGCCACUGGAGAUUCCUCCUUCCCCCGCAGCUCCAGCCUCCAAACGGGUUCCUGUGACCCCAUCUCCCAAAGGUGCCUCUAAUACCCUAGCUGAGAGUUCUGCCUCCCCUAAAAAAGCCCCUAAAACUGCAGCCCCCAAAGAAACCUCAACUCCAUCCCCCC
rnacentral:lncRNA from 1 species